rnacentral:snRNA from 1 species
GGAUGUGAGGGCGAUCUGGCUGCGACAUCUGUCAUCCCAUUGAUCACCAGGGUCGAUUCGGCUGAUCUGGCUGGCUAGGCGGGUGUCCCCUUCCUCCCUCACCGCUCCACGUGCGUCCCUCCCGAAGCUGCGUGCUCGGUCGAAGAGGACGACCUUCCCCGAUAGAGACGUACCGUUCAUCGGUCAAGGGUACACGGUAGCUGCGCUCCCCUGCGAGAACCUCCAAACAAGCUCAAGGAAUAACGUGUUGAUUGAAGGAUUAUGAGGUAUAGUAUUUAUAUGCAUAAUAUAGGCCUACUGCUAAGUCUUCAGUCCCUGAAUA